AUGAACGCUGGCGGCGUGCCUAAUACAUGCAAGUCGAGCGAACAGAUGAGGAGCUUGCUCCUCUGACGUUAGCGGCGGACGGGUGAGUAACACGUGGAUAACCUACCUAUAAGACUGGGAUAACCUCGGGAAACCGGAGCUAAUACCGGAUAAUAUAUUGAACCGCAUGGUUCAAUAGUGAAAGACGGUUUUGCUGUCACUUAUAGAUGGAUCCGCGCCGCAUUAGCUAGUUGGUAAGGUAACGGCUUACCAAGGCAACGAUGCGUAGCCGACCUGAGAGGGUGAUCGGCCACACUGGAACUGAGACACGGUCCAGACUCCUACGGGAGGCAGCAGUAGGGAAUCUUCCGCAAUGGGCGAAAGCCUGACGGAGCAACGCCGCGUGAGUGAUGAAGGUCUUCGGAUCGUAAAACUCUGUUAUUAGGGAAGAACAAAUGUGUAAGUAACUAUGCACGUCUUGACGGUACCUAAUCAGAAAGCCACGGCUAACUACGUG
rnacentral:rRNA from 1 species